UACGGGGGGGGCAAGCGUUGUUCGGAAUUAUUGGGCGUAAAGGGCGCGUAGGCGGCUGUACAAGUCAAAGGUGAAAUCCCUCGGCUCAACUGAGGAACUGCCUUUGAAACUGUACGGCUUGAGGCCGGGAGGGGGUAGCGGAAUUCCCAGUGUAGCGGUGAAAUGCGUAGAUACUGGGAGGAACACCAGUGGCGAAGGCGGCUACCUGGACCGGUUCUGACGCUGAGGCGCGAAAGCGUGGGUAGCAAACAGG
rnacentral:rRNA from 1 species